GAGGUAUUAGUAAAAUAAUUACAUAACUUUGUCAAA
rnacentral:tRNA from 1 species